AAAGAUUUAGAUUAAAAACUUAAGCCAAAACACUAGAUCUCUAUGUUUGUGAGCCUGCUUUUGGCUAUUGCUUAUCCAUUUGGGUAUUUGUAACACUAAACUAGUUGUGAGGAUUCAGAUGAAGGACAACUAAUUUGCCACAUUACAAAUCUUACAACAGCAGCUUGGAGUUGGAUGUAUGUAGUUGAUUUACAUAGAGAGAAACUAGCAUAGGCAAUUAUUAAGUAUUUCAAAAUAUGGAAUUUACUAAUAGGAAAUUAUCAAAUGAGCAUAAAGAACUACAGCCAUCUGCUUCAGAAAGUGCAGAUCCAUUGUCAAUAUCUCCAUUAAAGUUAUCCCCAAAAUCACCGCGCUCUCCAAAAUCGCCUAAGUCCCCAAAGUCUCCAAGGUCUCCCGCUUAUCGUCAGAGCAAGCAUGGCGCAGAUAGGGGAAGUCCACUCAAAAAUAGAAGAAACUCUCAUUCUCCCCGAGAUGGUCGUCCAAAGAAAGG
rnacentral:lncRNA from 1 species